rnacentral:rRNA from 1 species
ACAGCAGUCGCCACGGUAAUACGUAGGGUGCGAGCGUUAAUCGGAAUUACUGGGCGUAAAGCGUGCGCAGGCGGUUUUGUAAGACAGGCGUGAAAUCCCCGGGCUCAACCUGGGAAAGGCGCUUGUGACUGCAAAGCUAGAGUGCGGCAGAGGGGGAUGGAAUUCCGCGUGUAGCAGUGAAAUGCGUAGAUAUGCGGAGGAACAUCGAUGGCGAAGGCAAUCCCCUGGGCCUGCACUGACGCUCAUGCACGAAAGCGUGGGGAGCAAACAGGAUUAGAUACCCCGGUAGUCCCUGUCUCUUAUAA